GCCCAUCUUUGCCGCUCAUAGUUGCGGACUCGCUGUCUAAACCCUAUUGGCAAAUGUCUCUUCUUCAUCCACCACUCUAUGUUCCUCAUUUUCAAGUGCAUUGCUUGCUUCUUUGAAGUUGUAGCGUGCAGAAAUACCUUCGUUUUAGAAACAAAUU
rnacentral:sRNA from 1 species